rnacentral:lncRNA from 1 species
GACCGGGAGAUGGAGAGGGAGGAGGGAGGAGGCAGAGACCGGGAGAGGGAGGAGGGAGGAGACCAGGACCGGGAGGAGGGAGGAGGGAGGAGGGAGGAGGCGGAGACGGGAGAGGGAGGGAGGAGGCUAGGGUUUUUCUGCUGUGGAGCAGUUAAACCCGAAAACUUUAGCCGACGAAAUAAUUAUUUCGUCGGCUAAAGAUAAGAAUCUCGUCGGCUAAGAAUCAAUUCGUCGGCUAAACCUUCUAAAUUCGUCGGCUAAAACUUUGAAAUUCGUCGGCUAAACCUUUGAAAUUCGUCGGCUAAAGUAUUUUAUACAUUUGGCACAUUGUGAUUGUGAUGAUCAAACUUGAGAAAAAGAAAUCCGACCGUCCGAUCUGACCACCAUGACAAAAUACAUGUAUGGGAAAAAAUUCAACUUGAUCUGAAAAGAAUAAGGGCUCGAUCCGAACGGUCAAUCUCGUAAGUCAAACCCCUAAACGCACGGAAAAGGUCGUUCGACCGUCUAAAUUACGUAUUUUGGCCGGACCUUCAACUGAAAAUAGUUUUAAAUCGAUGACACGCAACAAGUCGUAUAAAAAUUUUACGCAAAAUAACCACCGAAUAUAGGGCUACUCAUAGGGGGAAAGAAUGAAAAAAUUGUAUUGACCGCAACUAUCGGCACCGAAUAUUUACCAGAAUAGUGUGAUUUUUCAACCGUGGAUGUAUUUCAACAUUCUCGUCAUAUCUUAUUUCAUGACUUUUUUGCGUUUGAAGGUUUUACGUAUAGUUUGUUUUUGAAACGGAACAUUUACAUAACACUUGGUAAACAAGUUAUACAACAUUAGUAUGCAUGUUGUGAUUGUGAUGAUCAAACUUGAGAAACAGAAAUCCGACCGUCAGAUCUGACCACCAUGACAAAAUACAUGUAUGGGCAAAAAUUCAACUUGAUCCGACAAGAAUAAGGGCUCGAUCCGGACGGUCAAUCUCGUAAGUCAAACCCCUAAACGCACGGAAAAGGUCGUUCGACCGUCUAAAUUACGUAUUUGGUCCGGAC